GGAAGCGUGUCAGAGAGGAUUAUCGUGCCUGGUUGCUAACCAGGUGUGGGAAACCACCGCGGGUUCGAAUCCCGCCGCUUCCG
rnacentral:tRNA from 1 species